GACGAACGCUGGCGGCGUGCUUAACACAUGCAAGUCGAACGGUGAAGCGCCUUCCUUUUUGGUGGGUGUGGAUGAGUGGCGAACGGGUGAGUAACACGUGAGUAACCUGCCCCCUUCUUCUGGAUAACCGCAUGAAAGUGUGGCUAAUACGGGAUAUUCUGGGUCUGUCGCAUGAUGGGUCUGGGAAAGAUAUUGUUUCGGUGGGGGAUGGGAUCGCGGCCUAUCAGCUUGUUGGUGGGGUGGUGGCCUACCAAGGCGGUGACGGGUAGCCGGCCUGAGAGGGUGAGCGGCCACACUGGGACGGAGCCACGGCCCAUACUCCUGCGGGCGGCAGCAGUGGGGAUUAGUGCACAGUGGGCGCAAGCCUGAUGCAGCGACGCCGCGGGAGGGAUGGAGGCCUUCGGGUUGUGAACCUCUUUCGCCAGUGAAGCAGGCCUGCCUCGUUUGUGGGUGGGUUGACGGUAGCUGGAGAAGAAGCGCCGGCUAACUACGUG
rnacentral:rRNA from 1 species